rnacentral:lncRNA from 1 species
AGGGUAAACUAUUAAGAUUUAAACUUACUCAUAUUACCUUCCACCAUGGGGCUUGUAACCGUCACUUGUGUCUUGAGUAGUUAAAGGAUAGAAUGGUCAAGUCAAGCAUCAUGUCUCUUGUUCUUGAUCAACUAUGGCUCUGGAGUUUUUUUUAGAUUUUCAAAUAAAAGUCAGAGAUUCCUUGUAUGACUCUCUCUAGUCUAUCUUUUGUGGUAUUUCUGGAUCCUUACCAAGGCAGUGAUGGUAUAUGUCUUCUCUCAAAGUAUGUGGUAAUUUUGACAUGAGGCAUAGUGACAUUGCUUUCUCUCUCACCCUACUCUAAUAAGGUUUUGAUAUCUAGAGCUCAUAGGUGGGAGAUAAAGUAUACAUAUACUUACAAGACAUUUAUUGCAUAGUCAAACCAUGGAUCUAGAGAAACAAGUCAAUAAGUCAAAUCAAGAUGUGCAUGUGUGGCGAGUGAAUGGUGUAUGGUGAUGAUGGUGAUAACAAUGGUGAAAGUCUAAUUAUACUUUUGCUCUUUUUAAGAGAUCCAUACAUUGCUUGCACUUUGAAACUUUUUGAGGAUAAUGAGAUGCUCUAUAUAUUUUUUCUUUUCUCUUAGGUGGGUAUCUUGUAAACCUAAUUCUAUUGUCGGACACUUGUCCAUUUUUACCGCUCGUCUCACUUUUCCUUUUCUUCGAGGUUUCGGGCACUUACCCCUUUUUAUUUCCUCCUAUUUUUCCUUUUUCUUCUCUUAUUUUUUAGAGCACUCACCCUCCUAGAAUAAUGUAGCAAGUGGUAGUAACCAAAAUAUCUCGAGCAUUUAUUUCACAGGGAAAAUAGGAAUAGGAAAAAGUUUUUGGCUAUUGUCUCCCGGAUAGGAGUAGAAUAAUUUUAGGUGAAUCUGGAGAUGGAAUUGAGUAGAUGUAUGUGGAUGCGUACUUCUGGAGUAGAACUAGCAUGUAUGAGUGAACGUACAAGUGAAUCUUGAUUUUAACCGCAUGACAAGCUCCUAAGGGUCUACACAGCUUGCCUACACUCAAUGCUCAUAAGGAGUAAAAAGUAAAUGUAUGGUUCAUAGUCUAAUAAGCAUGUAUAUAUGGCUGUGGUCUCUAGGAACAGAUAAACAGCAGCUCAACCUUCCCAUAUCGUAUCCGUUAACGACUUAGACUUUAGAUCAAGUGCUCUUCCCACA